CGUCCCCGCCCAGUCCCGCCUGCAGGCUCUCGCACCGAGGGGCCCUGUCUCUCCCUUGGCUGCCUCCGCCUCCCACUCAGCCGGGCCCGGAGCUCUCCCAGGUGGGUGGGAGCCGGGGGCUCCGUGCCAGGCCCACUGGAGGAGACAGCGGCCGAUGCACCGGCCCCACCUCCCAGGGAGGGCGUGGACCGUGAACCCCUGGGCUGGAGCCCAGGCCACGCCCUGGCUGUUCUGGGGCGGCUCCUGCGGGGAGAGGCCUUUCCUGAGCAUUGGCGGCCUGGCCCAGCCCGGGCAUCUCCCACAGCAUUGAGCACCCCUUGAAACGCCCCAUUCAGUGUCAACGCCGCCACCUCCCCCGUGGGCGUUCCCCGGGGCCUGGUGCAGAUCCUGGCUAAGAUGUUGUUGGGCCGACUUGGGAGGAGAGACGCCCCGCCCACUUCCUGGGCUGAGAGGAUAAAUGGGGCUCGGGGCCGCCCAGAGGCAGAGGGCAGAGCGCAGAGCGACCGCGAUGGUGAGGGCCGGGUUCCUGUCGAGUCCUCCAAUCACAGACCCGGGAUCCCCGGCUUUACUCACCCAGCCCUGCCCUCCCGCCAACCCUGCAGAUGCCCUGGCUGCUGUUCCUGACCCUGCCUCGCUUGGGGGGCUCCGUGCCCGUGUUCCCGGGUGAGUCCUGGCCCCAUCCAAUGCGCCCACUGUCCUGGGACCCGCCCCCCGACCCCAGGCCUGCGCUGACUCCGGUGGGGCGGGUGCUGAGCACCCCCUGGAAGCCGCUGGCUCACCCUGGGCUCUGGGGAACUGUGUGUGGGAGGCCGUGCUGGCCCCCGGCAGGGCACCUGGACCCCUCACAGCCCGGCUCGCCACGUCCCCAGAUCCCAGCCCAGGGACUGAGUGGACGCACGUCGUAGGGGGCCACAGUGCCUCUUCCGGGAAGUGGCCAUGGCAGGUCAGCCUCAGGACCUUCAACAAGGAGCGGGACCAGUGGGGACACAGCUGCGGGGGCUCCCUUAUCCACCCCUAGUGGGUGCUGACCGCGGCCCACUGCAUGGCACCGGAUGAAUGAGAGCCACAGACAUACAGGGUCCAAACUGGACAAGUGACGCUCUGUCGCCAUGACCAGCUGAUGAAGGUGGCCCAGAUCAUCCUGCACCCCAAGUUCAAUAUGAGCCUGUCAGCCCCGGCGGGGGGGAGGCGCAGACAUCGCUCUGCUGAAGCUGGAGACCCCCGUAACGCUGUCCGAGCUCAUCCACCCGGUCUCCCUGGCCCCCGACUCACUGAUGCUCCUCCCGGGGAUGAAGUGCUGGGUGACCGGCUGGGGGACCCUCGAUGGCUUUUUCUCUUAUUUGUUGGAGCUCCCGUCUUUAAUUUUGGGAAUGUCACGUUCUAUAGCACUGCAGCCCUGCGAUUCCCUUCCGGCUUCCGUUGGAGCUUGAGUGUGUUGUUUCUGCUGAGAGGAAUCAUGAGCCCAAAAGGGGCUGCCAGCCCAGGCUCCCUGGCAGAUGGACGGAGGGCCCACCAGGACCAGCCAUGCUCACCCAGUCCCUCCCCACAGCGCCGCUGCCCCCGGCCCCCGACCUACAAGAGGCCGAGGUCCCCAUCGUGAGGACCCGAGCUUGCGAGAGGAUGUAUCACAAAUGCCCCACUGCCCACGGCCAGGUCACCAUCAUCAAGGCUGCCAUGCCGUGUGCAGGGAGGAAGGGGCAGGGUUCCUGCCAGGGUGAUGCUGGGACCCCCCGGUCUGUUACCGGCUGGACACCUGGCUCCAGGUUGGCGUGCUGAGCUGGGGCGUGGCCUCCAGGCAUGGGGACUACCCUGGUGUCUACACCUGGGUGAUGACCUAUUCAUCCUGGGUCCGCCAGCACGUCCCGCUGGAGCGUUGAGGAGGCUUUGAUUGCUGGGGAGCGGACCUGCCCUCCUGCCAUCCCCGCCGGGCCUCCCCUCUGCUCCUCCUCCCGCCUCCAGGCCCUGUUCCUGCCCACCCCGCCUGGCCCCUGAAGUACCCCGUCCUUCCCUGACCUGGGGGUGAGGACACAGCGGCAGGGGAGGCUCAGAAGCUGGUGUCCCGUGGAUGUGGGCGAGGGAAGACGCACCCAGGGACCUUGCCUCCUGCCUGGGUCCGCCAUGCUAUUAAACUGUGUGAACAGCAGCCUCUGAGUCUCUGAUUCUCUGAUGUGUCCUGGGCGGUGGUGGGGACUUCCUGGUACACAUCUCAAGGUUCUGGAGGGCUCAGGGCCAGCCUCGAGUGACUGCACCUUCACGCUGGGUUGGGGGCCAGUGGGGAGGGCUCCGCUUCCCGGAGGCAGACCCUGGGCAGCUCAGCCUCCCCGCCCGGGUUCCCACAGCCCACGGAUGAGCUAGCUGUCCUCCCCCCAACACCCAUCCCUGGUUUGGACAGUUGUUUGCUCAUUUCCCUCAUUCCCCCAAAUCUGUGACAUCAAACCCAGCCUCGCUGCACCCCAGUUCAGACCUGGAGCCGCACUGUGGGGCCAGCAGCCUGAGCCUGCUCCCUCGGCCGUGCCUCCUCCUUGGACCUCCUGGAGUCUCGGGGUCAGCUGAGGACAUCGCCUCCCUGAACUGUGGGGUCUCCGUGGAGCUGGCUGCCCUGGAAUUUGGGGGACCCCAGCUCUGCCCCUGAGCAGCUGCCCCCUCACCCUUCCUCUCCAGGCAGAGGAGC